UCCUUUAGCAACAUACUGGGUGUAAGGAC
rnacentral:piRNA from 1 species